ACUAGCGGUGGUAGCAGGUUGAAUCCAUCUGUUCUUAAUGGUUCACUCAAGUUAAUCAACCUACCGCAUGGUUGGUAUCCGAAUGGGUGACCAUCUGGGCAAUUGCGUGCUGCUGGCA
rfam:Asian citrus Psyllid, Diaphorina citri - Florida Strain, whole genome shotgun sequence.